rnacentral:rRNA from 1 species
GUGGCUGGGGGUGAAAGGCCAAUCAAACCGGGAGAUAGCUGGUUCUCCCCGAAAUCUAUUUAGGUAGAGCCUUGAGCGGACACCUUCGGGGGUAGAGCACUGUUUCGGCUAGGGGUCCAUCCCGGAUUACCAACCCGAUGCAAACUACGAAUACCGAAGAGUGAUACUCAGGAGACACACGGCGGGUGCUAACGUCCGUCGUGGAGAGGGAAACAACCCAGACCGCCAGCUAAGGUCCCAAAGUCUAUAUUAAGUGGGAAACGAAGUGGGAAGGCUUAGACAGCUAGGAUGUUGGCUUAGAAGCAGCCAUCAUUUAAAGAAAGCGUAAUAGCUCACUAGUCGAGUCGGCCUGCGCGGAAGAUGUAACGGGGCUCAAAUAUAGCACCGAAGCUGCGGCAUCAGUAGCAAUACUGUUGGGUAGGGGAGCGUUCUGUAAGCGGAUGAAGGUGGCUCGAGAGGGCUGCUGGACGUAUCAGAAGUGCGAAUGCUGACAUAAGUAACGAUAAAACGGGUGAAAAACCCGUUCGCCGGAAGACCAAGGGUUCCUGUCCAACGUUAAUCGGGGCAGGGUGAGUCGGCCCCUAAGGCGAGGCUGAAAAGCGUAGUCGAUGGGAAACGGGUUAAUAUUCCCGUACUUGGAUAAACUGCGAUGUGGGGACGGAGCAGGUUAGGUUAUCGCACUGUUGGAUAUGUGCGUUUAAGUUUGUAGGUGUGAAGUUUAGGCAAAUCCGGACUUCUUUAACACUGAGAGAUGAUGACGAGGCUCUACGGAGCUGAAGUAACCGAUACCACACUUCCAGGAAAAGCCACUAAGCUUCAGGUUUAUCUAAACCGUACUGAAAACCGACACAGGUGGUCAGGUAGAGAAUACUCAGGCGCUUGAGAGAACUCGGGUGAAGGAACUAGGCAAAAUAGCACCGUAACUUCGGGAGAAGGUGCGCCGGCGUAGAUUGUAGUCCCUUGCGGGCGAAGGUUGAACCGGUCGAAGAUACCAGCUGGCUGCAACUGUUUAUUAAAAACACAGCACUCUGCAAACACGAAAGUGGACGUAUAGGGUGUGAUGCCUGCCCGGUGCUGGAAGGUUAAUUGAUGGUGUAAUCGAAAGAGAAGCUCCUGAUCGAAGCCCCAGUAAACGGCGGCCGUAACUAUAACGGUCCUAAGGUAGCGAAAUUCCUUGUCGGGUAAGUUCCGACCUGCACGAAUGGCAUAAUGAUGGCCAGGCUGUCUCCACCCGAGACUCAGUGAAAUUGAAAUCGCCGUGAAGAUGCGGUGUACCCGCGGCUAGACGGAAAGACCCCGUGAACCUUUACUAUAGCUUGACACUGAACAUUGAAUUUUGAUGUGUAGGAUAGGUGGGAGACUUUGAAGAUGAUACGCCAGUAUUGUUGGAGUCGACCUUGAAAUACCACCCUUUAACGUUUGAUGUUCUAACGAAGAUUACGAAACGUGGUCUCGGACAGUGUCUGGUGGGUAGUUUGACUGGGGCGGUCUCCUCCCAAAGAGUAACGGAGGAGCACGAAGGUUUGCUAAUGACGGUCGGACAUCGUCAGGUUAGUGCAAUGGUAUAAGCAAGCUUAACUGCGAGACAGACAAGUCGAGCAGGUACGAAAGUAGGUCAUAGUGAUCCGGUGGUUCUGAAUGGAAGGGCCAUCGCUCAACGGAUAAA